rnacentral:rRNA from 1 species
CCCUUAGAUGUUCUGGGCGGCCCGCGCACUACAUUGGCACUAGCAAAGAGAUCCUAGAUUGAAUUCUUUGGGGUAUCCUUCUAAAUGGUGUCGUGACUGGGAUAAAUCCUUGUAAUUAUUGGUUUUGAACGAGGAAUUCCUUGUAAUCGCGGUUUAUCAGCUCGCGUUGAAUGCGUCCCUGCCCUUUGUACACACCGCCCGUCGCUCCUACCGAUGGAUCGUCCGGUGAAGCUCACGGAGUGACUGUUCACGCAACGGUUUACGAAGUGAAAUGGACCUCACGAUUUAGAGGAAGGAGAAGUCGUAACA